rnacentral:lncRNA from 1 species
UUGCAAUUGUUACCACUAUCAACAACAAUACCUUCUCCAUAUCAUCUUAAGAAUGGUACAGAGUAUAUAACACCUGAUGCUUUACACGAUUUUAUUUUAAAUACCAAUAGUACGAAACUUGGAAGGGCAGAAAAUGGAUUAAAAUAUAAUAACAGUAACAUAUUAAAUAAUGUCCAAAUGAAAGAUGUUGUUGGAAGUAGUAAUAAUAAUAAAAAUAGUAAUAAACAUAAUACUCUGUAUAACCAUAAAAAUGCGUUAAGUGUAGAUUUUAACUAUAAAAAUAGAAAUGAUAUAAAUAAAAAAAAAAAUGGUAACUACGAUGAUUAUAUAUAUGAUUAUAAUAGAAAAUUAAGUAUGAACGAAUCAAAAGGAGGUUAUAAUAAUAAAGAAAAUAAUUUACUAAUAAAAAAAAUGAAAUCAGAUGGUGUUGUUGUUGUUGGUGGUAGUAGUACUAGAAGCAUAAGUAGUAAUAGUAAUAACUUAAAUACAUAUAAACAUAAAAAAAGUAACGAAAACGGACAUAAAAAUGUAACUAAUGUUAAUAGUAAUGUUGUUAUUAAUAGUAACAAUAAUAUGAAAGGUGUGAAAAAUGUUAAAAAUGUAAAUGGCGUUAAUACUGUAGAUACAUUUACAUAUGGUUUAAAUGGUAAAUUAAAAUAUGAUAUGCCUGUAGGUGUUAAUCCAAAUGAUGAUAAAGUGAAAGGAGUUUAUUUCUCUAAGUCACCCAGAGGUGUAGGAAAAUGGAACGCUUAUUUUCAAAUAGCUAAUAACAAAAGAUUAUUUACUAGUUUUAGUGUAAGUAAAUAUGGUUAUAAUGAGGCAAGAAAAUUAUCUAUUAUGAAACGAACAGAAUGGGAAAAAGAAUAUAAAUACCAAACUGAUUUAAAAAAUGUGGAAAAAAAAAAAGGAAAAAAAAGUAAAAGUAAUAGCUUAACUGAAAAUACUAAUGUUACUACUAGAAAUAUGCCAGCAAUUAAUAGUAACAAAAGGAAUAUUUCAAAAACUGUUGCUAAUAAUUCUAAUAGUAGCGAUGAAUGUUCAAGUUAUACUAAAGAAAAUACAACAAAAGGCGAAGAAGAAGGAGAGGAAGAUGGAGAAGAAGAAGGAGAGGAAGAGGGAGAAGAAGAAGGAGGAGGAGAAGAAGAAGGAGAAGGAGAAGGAGAAGGGGAAGGAGAAGGAGAAGGAGAAGGAGAAGGAGAAAGAGAAAGAGAAGAAGGAGAAGGAGAAAGAGGAGGAGAAGAAAAAAGAGAAAGAAGACAUACAGUUUUUUCAAACGAUGGAGCAGAUGAUACAUAUUCAGGUAAUGAAAGUAUUCUAGUUAAUACACCAGAACAGAAUGUUAUAUUGUCAAGUAGUGGGAGAAGAAGUAAUAGAACAAAUAUGAACAGUAAUAGUGACAACAAUUAUAAAAAUAAUGAGUUGAAUAAAGAAGGAAAUAAUCAUAACAAUGUUAGUAGUAGUAGUAUAUCUUAUCCUGUAGAUAUAACUAAAGAUAACAAAAAAAAGUUGAAUAAUGUUGAUAUGUUAAAAAAUAAUGUAAAUAAUGUAAAUAAUGACAAAAAAAAUAGCCUCAAAAGAAAAGUUGCUUCAUUUUCUAAAAACACAUUAGGUAAUUCAGGUUAUGAAGAUGAUGAUUGUGGGGAUGAAUCUGGUGACGAAAAUGAUAACGAAAAUGGUAACGAAAAUGGUAACGAAAAUGGUAACGAAAAUGAUAAUAACGAUGAAAAUAACAAACUCGAUGAAUCAUUAGACUCGUCAAAAAGACUAUCGAACACAUUAGGGUUGUCAAACAAGUAUAUUCGAAAUUUGCAUUUUCCUACGAUUGAUUCCUACAAAGUUAGUAAUUUCUUAGAUGCCCUUACAGAAGAUCCUAAAAUAUCUUUAUAGCUUUGUCAUGGGUGC